rnacentral:siRNA from 1 species
GGCAAUAUCAAAUUUGGUGAAGG